AGUACCAUCGAUCAGAAUUAUUUUUGAUCGGAUAUGGGCUGUUUGCGCUCGGUCUGGCGCCAGCCUGAAAUUGAGAUUGCUUUUCUACUUUCGCCCCGCUUUUCAAAGGCGUCAUAGUUGGCCUUUCCCGGUCAUCUUUCGCCCGAGGGAGGGAGAAUGAAGGAAGGCGAGGACGGGAAACCGUUCAAAAAAUCUUUUUUCAAAU
rnacentral:misc_RNA from 1 species